UGGUUUCUGAACCUUGAGGUGAUUCAGGAAGGGGAUGGACCAGUAAUCUCCAGAGAUGGCAGGGUCCUCACCAUCCCCACAGUCACACGCAAUGACUCCAGCACCUACCACUGUGAGGCCAGGAACCACCUGGGAUCCAGGCUCAGUGAAGCCCUCGUGGUUGGCGUGGCUUGUACAAAGGUAGAUGGAGAUUGUAGGAAGCCAAGAUCCCAGAAAUUCCAGACUCGACAACAUAAAUAUUUGCAGAACUGGAAGGACUUUCAGAGACACCACAUUUUACAAACAAGAAAACUGAGAUUAAGAAAGGGGAAGGGCUCACCCAAGAUCUCACCGUGGUCAAGAAGAAAGAUAAGAACUUGAACCCAUGUGUUUUUCUCUCUCUGCCCCUCUGUCUCUCUACUUUUGGGAAAGCAUCUACUGAGCAUCCACUGUGUGCUGUGUGUAUUGGGUGUUAUUUCUAGUCAAAGCAGUUAACAUAACUGACAAGCAUAUCCCUGUCCUCAUGGAGCUGACAGUCUUCAAAGAUCAAGGAGGGUAAUAGACACAAGAGGGAGGCUACCGCCAGCCAUGAUGGCCCGGAUACCCCCAUCAUGACCGCACUGGACCCAGAUUUUGUGAUUGGUUCCAACCUCACUCUGGUCUGCUUAGCCUACUCCCACCUCCUUGCCCAGUACACAUGGAGCUUCAGUGGGGUCACCACAUGGGAGGGCCAGACCCUCUUCAUGCCCAGUCUCUCCAGGGCACACUCAGGGGUCUACACCUGCAAGGCCUCCAACUCCCUUUCCGGC
rnacentral:lncRNA from 10 species